rnacentral:rRNA from 1 species
UACGAAGGGGGCUAGCGUUGCUCGGAAUCACUGGGCGUAAAGGGUGCGUAGGCGGGGCUUUAAGUCAGGGGUGAAAUCCUGGAGCUCAACUCCAGAACUGCCUUUGAUACUGAGGAUCUUGAGUUCGGGAGAGGUGAGUGGAACUGCGAGUGUAGAGGUGAAAUUCGUAGAUAUUCGCAAGAACACCAGUGGCGAAAGCGGCUCACUGGCCCGAUACUGACGCUGAGGCACGAAAGCGUGGGGAGCAAACAGG